AAAGAGAGUUCGAACAUACAUGUCAUGUAAGAACUCGAAAGUUGCAAUAUGCAAAGUAGUCCUUUGACCUGAUGCAUCAUAGAUGUCUAAUGGUUAGGUCCUUGAUCUUUGAUCAUGUCAACGGCAUUCCAUCGGAGUGUCCACGGCAUUGUUAGGGUCAAGCUAUCUAGUCAUGUAGGCAUAUGAAUGCACAAUAAGGGAUCUCUAACCUUCCAUGGUGGAAGGAGAAUACUCUAAGAUAUGAUUCUAAAGUCUUUGGCCAAAGCAUA
rnacentral:lncRNA from 1 species